UACAGAGGUGGCAAGCGUUGUUCGGAAUUACUGGGCGUAAAGCGCACGUAGGCGGGUUUGUAAGUAGAGGGUGAAAUCCCAGGGCUCAACCCUGGAACUGCCUUCUAGACUGCAAGCCUGGAGGUCAGGAGAGGCGAGUGGAAUACCGAGUGUAGAGGUGAAAUUCGUAGAUAUUCGGUGGAACACCAGUGGCGAAGGCGACUCGCUGGACUGAUACUGACGCUGAGGUGCGAAAGCGUGGGGAGCAAACAGG
rnacentral:rRNA from 1 species